CUACUGCAACACUAUUUCAGAUGGCUUCUAUUCCAUAAGCACAGCGAAAGUAAGGGGAGCCUUUGGCAACUCCAGGACGGGCCAGUGGGUCUUACGUCAGUGACACAGUUUAAAUACCAGAUCUGGAGUUCAUUGGAAGAAUGCUGGUGGCUUUUCCGGCAGAAGAAUGUUGGCUGGUACAUCAGGAAUUUCACUUUGUUAAAUAACUUUUUGUUGUUGCUGCUGUUGUUAAAGAAAGGCAGUAGCUUUCUUGCAGCUUAGUAAGACCAGAUCUCUCCCUGAGCUCAGGCCUGAUGUUCAUGCAACAUGGAUAUUCUUGGGUGAAAAGAGAUUUUCCUUUUCCUUUAACUUGCUCAUCAUCUAGCCACUGACAUGCUUAACCCAGGAUUUCAGGGAGAAAAUAGGGCAGAUGGCUAGAAAAAGUGAUAAAAUGUGGGCUGUGUUUCACAGAAAUGUUUAUAAGAAACUAACUUUGAAUCACUGCACCAGAUGCAGUCCAAGGGAAAAAUGUAUGCAGGCAACAGGGAGUUAAGUAAAUAAAUUUUUUCUUUUCUUUG